rnacentral:rRNA from 1 species
CGUAGGGACCAAGCGUUGUUCGGAUUUACUGGGCGUAAAGGGCGCGUAGGCGGCGUGUUAAGUCAGCUGUGAAAUCUCCAAGCUUAACUUGGAACGGUCAGCUGAUACUGAUGUGCUAGAGUGCAGAAGGGGCAAUCGGAAUUCUUGGUGUAGCGGUGAAAUGCGUAGAUAUCAAGAGGAACACCUGAGGUGAAGACGGGUUGCUGGGCUGACACUGACGCUGAGGCGCGAAAGCUAGGGUAGCAAACGGGAUUAGAUACCCCGGUAGUCCUAGCCCUAAACGAUGAAUACUUGGUGUCUGGAGUUUUUAUUCUCCGGGUGCCGUCGCUAACGUUUUUAGUAUUCCGCCUGGGGAGUACGCACGCAAGUGUG